GACGAACGCUGGCGGCGUGCCUAAUACAUGCAAGUCGAACGCAGUGGGGACGGGUGAGUAACACGUGGGUAACCUCCCAUCAGAGGGGAUAACACUUGGAAACAGGUGCUAAACCGAUAUUGAUGGAUGGACCCGCGGUGCAUUCACUAGUUGGUGAGGUAACGGCUCACCAAGGCCACGAUGCAUAGGCGGCCGGAGAGGGUGGUCGGGCACAAUGGGGAUGAGACACGGCCCAGACUCCAUCGGGAGGGAACAGGAGGGAAUCUUGGGAAAUGGGCGAAAGGCUGAACAGGCAACGCCGGGUGAAGGAAGAAGGUUUUCGGGUCGUAAAACUCUGUUGUUAGGGGAACGGUAUCUAACCAAGAAACCACGGCUAACUACGUGCCAGCAGCCGCGGUAAUAC
rnacentral:rRNA from 1 species